UACGGGGGGGGCAAGCGUUGUUCGGAAUUACUGGGCGUAAAGGGCUCGUAGGUGGCCAACUAAGUCGGACGUGAAAUCCCUCAGCUUAACUGGGGAACUGCGUCCGAUACUGGAUGGCUUGAGUUUGGGAGAGGGAUGCGGAAUUCCAGGUGUAGCGGUGAAAUGCGUAGAUAUCUGGAGGAACACCGGUGGCGAAGGCGAGUCUCUGGGAUGAUGCUGACGCUGAGGCGCGAAAGCCAGGGGAGCAAACGGG
rnacentral:rRNA from 1 species